rnacentral:lncRNA from 1 species
GAUCACAACCAUUGGGCUAAGGGCUUCAAUGGCCCAAAAUGCAGUGUAGAGGGGAAAUGAGCAUCAACAACCAAUUCAUUUCAAUCUCAAACAUAUUCAAAUUUUAGGUCACCUGAGAUAACCUGGAAUCACAACUUCGCCGCACCGAAAAUCACCUCCAGUGGCGGUGGAGGUCCAACCACACUCAACCUUGCACCAAUCGAACCGUCUCUCCACCCUCUUUCGUUCUCACAUUGUUUUCCUCUGAUUCCUCCCCUAUAGUUCAAAUUGAAGAAUAAAUUAUAUAACCCUAAAUAUUCAAAUCAAAAUUAAUUGCUAAUGACACCUAAUAUGAACCUCAGAGCUUAGAGCUAUGGAUUCUCUAUGCUAAUGCUAUCAUUUGGUCACAAAAAAUAGACAAAUCAAGAGAGUUUGAAGGAAGAAGUCCUACCUUCAGAGUGGUGAAUUGCUCCGGUCAAGGUUGAAAGACUUUAAGACGAAGAUGAUAAGAAAUCCAUGGGCACUUUGAAUAUGGUAAACACUCCGAUUCCUAAUCCACUACAACCUUAUUCUUCUUCUCUACCACAUAGUUUGUAGGUGAUGUGAUGUGCUGCUUCUAUGUGAUAUUCAGAGAUGAGUGAUGGAGAGUGAGAUUAUGAGAUGAAUGAGUUUGAGAGAAAUGGUUGUAGGGAGGAGCACAGUGAGGGUGAGAUUCCGAAUUUCAGUGAGGGAGUGAUUGAUUGUGUAAUGAUUCUGUGUUAAUCCCCGAUAAUUGAGCUCAAUGAUAAGUUAUAUAGAGUUAUUUCACGUAACUGAUUGGGGAAGUUCGUGUAGUUCUGUUAGGGAAGAUUAACUCUAUUAGGAACUGUUAAAUUUAAUUAUGAUGUGUCCUAAUUUAAUUGAAACUCUAUUAGUAAAAUGAAUUAGUUAGAUUCAAUUAAUGAAGAGGUUCAAUCCUGUUAGCACCAAUUGUUAUCGUAGGUUAGAAAAAUGAGUUAGUUCAAAACCAGUUAUUUGUAUCUAUUUGAAUUGAUAAAGCAAUUAGAGAUAUUUGGUUUAAAUUGG